AUACACAUAUAUAUAAUGACUUGUAGACUACGGUUCAGUUCAACAAUUAUCUACCAACAAAGUCCAGCAUCCAGGAAUUUAUCAGUCCAAGAGGCUGGAUAUUGCCGCUGCACUUCAAUAUGUCUUCAUCCCUAUAAGUUUCACAGCUAGCAGGGAAACAAACAAUUUGCGAGGUGAAGAAUGAACUCAUAUGACAAUUAUGACAACAAAGCUUCAAGGAUCCAUCAGCUGUCAAUAGCUCUUCAGCUCAUGAGACCUCCCCCAUACACAUUGGAGUUUUGCUGGCCUGGUCUUCUAAGGGUCUUGGGCUGGAAACCACACCUACUGCACGAGGAUGGUGGCAGAUCUUACAGAGCUCUCCUGUAAGUUCUCACUGAUAAACUAGUCUUGAAACCUGACAGAGAAUGGCAAGCUAACCCUUUGAAGUCUCUGCAGAAAUAGAUGCUAGAGUGACAGAUUCAAAGCCCAGCCCUGGAAUAGGUGUCACAUUUUAAAACAAUGUCAAAAAGAUCAGUAUAGCUGGAUUGAGUGUACAAAGAGAGAGUAAGGUGAGGAAGGAGUUAGACCAAGAUUAAUCUUAGAUUCCCUAGCAAUUCAUUAUCUUUCAAUACUUGACAUUUGAUAAAUGUAUCCUAUAUAUUUUGCAAAUGAACUAUUCUUUAUGCACAUGCUUCAUGUAUGAUCUCCAUAAAACUGUUUUUAUUAUCUCCCAUUGCUUAUAAAUGGGUCACAAGUUGGAGGCUGAUCCUUCUGCGCUUGAAGCUCAUCACUCUAUGCGAAGUUCAAUUUUAACAACCUGGCUGUCUUCAUCACACAUGAAGAGGACAAAUGAAAAGGAGAAAAAAAAAUAGCCCGAUUUUCUAUGCCAGCCUGUCCUUGGACUUACCGAGUAGUUGAUGCUGGCCUAGACCUUUCAUCAAACCUCCUGAGGCUACAAGUAUGAGCAAGUAAAUUCAUCUGUAAUAAUCCUUAUAUUGAAGGAUGUCAAACAGGACUCACAGUUUUACUAGAGAAAAAGCAUUGCCUCCAGAUGGAAAGAGUCUAUCAGGGGGUUGUAAAUUUUCCUUAAAGAAUGAAUGCAUUUGGUAAGUAGAGACAAUUCUCUUUCACUUUGUAAGCUUAUUAUGGUUGAAGUGUGUGUGUGUGUGUGUGUGUGUGUGUGUGUGUGUGUGUGUGUGUAUGUAUGUAUGACAGUGAGUAGCUUUCGAGUCUCUGUUACACAUUCUGAGCUAUUUUGUUUCUAUAGUUUAUUUAUCCAUUUAUUGAUGCAUGCAAAUCCAGCAAUGUAAAGUAGUGUUUUCUGAGUUAUGAAGACAAAUCACUGCUGAUACUAUUUUCAGUCUCCUCCUGGCAGGAAAAUGCCCAUGUAAGUCUGCUUAGGACUUAAAGUACAAAGUAGUUCACUCUUAUGCUUCCCAUUCUACUAAGGAAGUAAGGAGGGAGCUGUGACCAUUCUUGAUGAGUGUGCUCAGGUUUGUAAGUUAUAUUAGACAUAAAAAUGUUUUCAAAGGGUGCUAUCCACUCAGGGGAACAGUCCUUAACUAUCAGUUACUUGCAUUCUAAUUUCCUAUUUGCCUUUGGGAAGCUCAGGCUUUGAAGCAGCGAAAAAGAAUAGGUGCUGCCAAUAAGUAGCUUACAAAGCUCACAGACAGCUGUUAUAUAAAACUUGAAAUGGUAAGGCCCAGUACAGGUUCUGCUUUCUCCAUUCUCUCCCACCUAUAAUAGUAUUCAACUGAGGCCAUAAAUGGGCACCUUUAUCAGCCCAAAGCGUUCAGAAUUAGAAAUAAAAAGACUCAGAUCAAAGAAUGUCAUGGUUAACAUGCUUAUUAACAAGACAAGAUGUAGAAUCAUCUAUGAGUCAAAUCUUCGCACACAUUUAGAUAAGGUUAAUUGAGGUGAGGAGAACCAUUCUAAAUUAUAUAUGAUAUCUUCCCAUGGGCUGUCAUUCCAGUGUGAACACAAAGGCAAAAGCAUGUGGAAAUCUCUCUGCUUCCUGACCAGGUACAAUGUCUCCUUGAUAUUCCUGCCUCCAUGGCUGCUCUGCCUUCUCUGCCAUGAUGGGCUGUAUCUACCCUUCAAUGAUAACUUAAAAUAAUUUCUUACUCCACAAAGUUUUUUCCUCUGGUAUUUUUAUCACAGCGAGAAGAAAAGAAAUCAUAUAAUGAUUAUGAAAAAUAUUAUAAAAUAUAAAUGAAUAGUUUAGAAAACACUUGAAGGUGGAAAAUUUGAAGGUGGGCAACAUGAAGGAGAACACAUGGGUCACAAUCAGAAUGCUGUCAUACUCCCUGUGAUCUGGCUAAACAAUUACAUAUAUUCUUCUCUGGAAAGAUAUGACAACAAUAACUGGAGGAUUAAAUGGGCUGUCUGAAGUGACUAUCAGAGCAGGAGAAUUCAUAGCAGCCAGAUGGUGGAUGCUGCCGCCUGGUGGCUCUUAGGGAAGGAAAAACGGAGAAGUAAAAAUGCUGCAGGGGAGAGCAGUAGGAGCUGCAGGGGAGUUACUGAUCCUCACCUGGACCUGCAGAAUCAGAAGAGAGCAUGGUAGAUCUUAGAGAUCCAGGAGAACACUCAUGAAGGCUCUGCAAUCUCCCCACCGGCACCUCAAGGAAAACCUAAGCAUCUAGGACAUAAGUUUCUGCUUGCCCCUCCUACACACAGUAGCACUAGGAACCUGCUAGAGCCAGAGGGAUCUGUCAACUCCACCUUUUAAAGCAGUGUAUCUGUGUUGCAAUUCACUCUCUAAAUAUUCUUUUUGUUGUCAUUUUCUGUUUUUGAAUCUCCAGUCUUGCAUAUAUGUCACAUGAUGGAUUUGAUUUUGGUUAUAUUUUUCUCAGAUUUCAGAACCAUUUUUAUGUUUCUGGAUACAGAUUACUAUAAGGCAUUCUUCACUAUAUUCUUUGACCAUAUCUGAUAUACCUUGUUUCCUAUUCUUUAUUUUCCUCUUCUUUUGCAUCCUUAUCUCCUCUGUUUGGGGCCUAUUAACUAUAGUAUUUUACACCUUUAACUCUCUCUAAUAUCUGUGGAUGCUAAGAGUAUUCCAACUUUUAUGUCUCACCCACUUUGCCUACAUUUAUUUAAAAAAACAGUCUAGUAGUUCCUAUUGGAAUACACCUUAUAUUCCUCAUACUUGUAAUAUUACUAAAUAAAAUCUCAGGGUACUGUGUCCCACCUUUGAUAAUUUAUCCUCUAAGAGGUAUUGAAUUCAAAAGAGCCACUAUUUUUAAUUGGCUAGUGUGAUAUUACUGUAUGGAGCAUUUGUUGCUCUUAUAACUAAUGUUCUACUUAGGCAAUAACACUAAAUUUUUACCAAGUACAAUAUCUAGGAACUGUUUUAUGAACUACACAUUUAAUACUCCACUUCAAAGUCCCAUUUGGAUAGUGCAAGUAGUUCAAUUGAAAAAUAUACAAAAUGAUAUGAGAUGUAUAAAUCCUAAUUCAGUAAGACAAAAAAAAAUGGAAAAUCAAGACAAUGUUAAUUCUCUGGAAAUAAUUUUAACCCUAUAGAAAUGGCACUUGAUGAAAGCAAGUUAAAUGAAAUACCAGAAAGAGAACUCAGAAUAACUAAAUGCCUACAUUAAUAAGUCAUAAAUCUCAAAUAUAUAACCCAAUGAUACUGUUUAGAGUUCUGGAAGCAGAAAAAUGAGCCAAACUCCAGGUCAGCCGUCUAAAAGAAAUUAUCAAGAUAAGGAAAGAAACUUCUGAAAUAGAAACAAUAAAAACAAUAUAAAGAACAAAUGAGAAAAAUAAUUGGUCCUUUGAAAAGAUAACCAGUAUAAACAAGCCUUUAGGCAAAGUAACAAGCAGAAAAAUGACCCAAAUUAAUGAACUUUGAGACAAAAAUAAUGGAGUCAUUGCAACAGAUACCAUGAAAUUGUAUCUGUUGUAGAUUUUACUAAAAAAAUUUACAUGAAAUUGUAGAUUUACAUGAAAUUGUAGAUUUUACUAAAAAAAAUUCCAAUUAACUAAAAGUUUAAAAUAAUUUUAGGUGCAUGUGUCUUACCAAAAUUAAACUAAGAUAGGGUUGAAAUGAUGAUUUAAAAUCUCUCAACCAAAAAAAAUGUCAGGUCUAGAUGGAUUCACUAGUAAAUUUUAUCAACUUCAAUCUCACACCUGAAAAAGAUGGGCUGAGGGAGGACAUAAGCAAACACUUUCUACAGCACUACCAUUACCCUAAGGCCCAAAAUAAAUGAAGAUUCACACAAAAGAAAUUUUAUAGGCAAGCACACUCUCAGGAAUAUACAUGCAAAACUUUUCAACAAAAUACUUGCAAGGCAAUUCAAUAACACACCAAAAAGACCAUUCAACGUGAUCGAGUUCAAUUUAUUCCAGAGAUGCAGGGACAUUUCAAUAUACAAAACAUGUUCAUCACCUCAGUAGUUAGAGAAACAGACUUCAAAAAUCAAAUUGCCAUUUAUAUUAAAAGUCAUGAAGUACUGUGUUGGCCAACUAUUCUUAGGAUCUACUCUGAAGUAUGUUUGAUAUACCCUGUGACACUCCAUUUGCAGAAGACUGCUUUUUCCUUUGACAGCAGGCAUCAAUUGCAAAUACCUUCUUUUUUAUAUUGUGGG